rnacentral:lncRNA from 1 species
GGGUUGGUUAUUUUUAUUUUUAUUUUUUAAUAUUUUUAUUUAAGGGAACUUUAACGAAAAGCUCCCGGUACUGUUCACUUUAAUGAAAAACCACAUUUUUAUACUAAAAAGUCAAUCAUGAUACUAUUCACUUUACCCUUUAUUUUGUCUUUAUCGUUAAAACUCAAAGUUUUCAAAUCAUUUUCAUUAGUUUUCCUUUUAUUGAAUUAAUUUUUUUAAUUUUUUUUAAUUUUUUUAAUUUUUUUAAUUUUUUUAAUGACACGUGGUGCCCCAAUCAUUAUCCACAUAAGCGCUACGUCAUUAGUUAACAUGAGACUUAACAACCAGACGAACGGAUGUAUGAGACCAUCCUAAAAAACUUCAUGUACUAAAUGUUGAAAACCACGAAACUUGAGAGUAAUAAACUAGAUUUACCCAAAUUUUUUCCUUCUAAAUUUGAGUUUAGGAUAGGGUGUUGAUUCGUUGAAGCCAAGGGGGGAAUGGUGUAUUAAAGAAACUAGGCCAUGGAGUGCUUUGGUGGCAUGUGAAUGUUAUGUUGUUACGUAUUGGCUAUGUUAUGUUGUUUGACUAUCAAUAUACUAUGAUAGAAAUGUUAGUAAUCUUUGCAUUAACUUUUGCAAUUGAAUAUUUUCACUUAUUCGCAUGAUAUGUGUCCUAUUUUACACACAUAAAAAAAGACUUUUAAAAAUUACAUUUUCCAUUUUUCAUCGUUAAUUCCAAGCCAAAAACAUUAAAGGUCUUAGUUUUUGUAAAAUGCGACACGUGUUAUUUGAAGAAGAGAAAAGUCCAAAUACAAAUGUUAGUGCGAAAUUUCUAGUAUUAGUAAAAGAGUAAUGCUAAACUUACCUUAUAUUUGUAUCAUCAUUUGGUAAGUCCUACCUCUAUUAGAAAGAUAGUACAAAUAUGUGGAUGAGGAUCCUCUCCAUAUCCUCUUUGUGAGGAUCUUAGGGAUCAAUUUAUCUUAGUCAUUCAUCGUACAUCGUGCAGCCAACUUUCGUUAGAUAAUAUCUACGGUUAAUUUUAAAUAAAAAAUUAAAAAUGAUUUCUGAUCACAAGAUGAUUGAUAAACGGAUAGGAUGAACUGAACUCUAGGAUACUCACAAAAAGAAUCCUGAUAGGAUCAUGUUCUCAAAUAUAUGGUAAAAGUUGCAUUUUUGUUAAUAAAAUACUUUGAGGCUCUGUUUGUUUGAAGAAAUUUUUAGUUGUAAUGGGAACACGAAUGAUACACCACAUAUUUUUAUGCCAGUGGUGGAAAAUUUUAAUUUUUAAGUUAUUAAUUUUUUAACACACAUAACUCACAAUUUAUAUAGGAACACGUGGUAUACUAUCUCGUGUGACGGUCACACUGAAAAAUCUCUCGUUUGUUAGGCAGUCUUGAUCAUAGUCUAAAAUAUCCAUAAUAUCCCGAUAUUUCCAUCGAAAUUUCCGUAUUUUUGGACUACCGAUAUUUUUUUGAACUACUGAUAUUUCUGAUAUCAUCGAUAUUUUAGACCUUGCUAAGUCACUCAUAUAUCUUACCAUGCAAUGUAUAAAGUGUAAAAUAUUGUACUAAUUCAUUAUAUAUAAAUGAUUAUGGUGUGUUUAAACUUCUUUCAUUAAUUACUACAUAUUUUCUACACUCACAAUGUUUGCCAGCUCGCUAUAUUA